rnacentral:miRNA from 1 species
UCCAGGGGUAGGAUUGAUUGUGGGA